GACGGUCAGUGGGUCCUGGUGGACUCCCUCGGCUGCAAACCGAGUGUCCGGAGCUCCGGUUUUCGGAGUUGGGUUCGAUUCCCAAGGGCCGUCU
rnacentral:tRNA from 1 species